UUUGUUAUAUUGCACAAUUGGCGAAAGCCUGAUGCAGCGACGCCGCGUGGGGGAUGAAGGCUUUCGGGUUGUAAACCUCUUUCGCUAUCGAACAAGGCCCGCUUAGGGUGGGUUGAGGGUAGGUGGAGAAGAAGCGCCGGCUAACUACGUGCCAGCAGCCGCGGUAAUACGUAGGGCGCGAGCGUUGUCCGGAAUUAUUGGGCGUAAAGGGCUUGUAGGCGGCUUGUUGCGCCUGCUGUGAAAACGCGGGGCUUAACUUCGCGCGUGCAGUGGGUACGGGCAGGCUUGAGUGUGGUAGGGGUGACUGGAAUUCCAGGUGUAGCGGUGGAAUGCGCAGAUAUCUGGAGGAACACCGAUGGCGAAGGCAGGUCACUGGGCCAUUACUGACGCUGAGGAGCGAAAGCAUGGGUAGCGAACAGG
rnacentral:rRNA from 1 species